ensembl:misc_RNA
UUGACAGCCUCAAAGACCAAUGUCCUUUAUUUAUGCCUGAGCAGCAGCAGAGCAACCUUUCCCACACUUCCCUGCCAAUGUUCUUGACCACUGAUCUGAAGGAACCCCUUCUGGGGUAAGAGUUUAGUAGUCUUCAUACUUAUUCAAUCCUUGGGCUCU